rnacentral:lncRNA from 1 species
ACGGCAUUCUUAAAUUUCGUUAUAAAAAAUUGAGAGAGUGAUGCCUCCAAUUUAACAGAUUUUUCAGGGUUUAAUCUGGUUUAAGAAUAAUCGUCUAGACGGCAUUGUCCUGCUCGUCUUCUUUUUUGGGGGGUGGCUUCUGAUGUGGUUCUUUCUGCAGCUCUCACGGCGGAGGGUCUUCUGCUUUCUACCCUGGCUCUGGGCACUGUGGCUUCCAAUCUCCAGAAAACAUGAUAAUCGGAUGUGUAUAGGAUCUGGAAUCAAGGAGAUUUCCAUAGGCCACCAGCCAGAACAUGACUUGGAGGAUGGAAUGCUCUGUGAGGCUUUUGAUAUGGAUGUGACUACUGGAAACUAUCUAACUGCUAUCUCAGACCACGAGGCAACCUAGAGGAUGGAAACCACGUGCUGAAGGUGAUGGAACAUAAUGUUUGCAGGAGCCUGACACCAUGGCCCUGCCAUGAAAUCCUGGACUGCCUUGCUCCAGACUGCUUUCACUUGUUUGCAGAGGGAAGACAUUUCCCAUAGCAGUUAAUCCUUCAUUGGCAGAAGUGGAAAUCCUAGACUUUUAACAAAGGAAGCAAUUAAUGCAGGGACACACCCCUUGUAAAAAAG